rnacentral:lncRNA from 1 species
ACAGAACAAAGCAUAACCAAGAGAUUUCUCUUUUUAAAAUCUCUUCAAGCACAUUGGAAGCCAUAAGGAAGUUUCUUCCCACAAUAGUUCAAUAACAAGCUCAGAUCAACAGGAACAUUGAGAUUAAUCCCCAAGACAUUGGCUUUAAGAGCGGUGCAAAGACAAACCGCAGCUUCAACGUUAGCAAGACCAUUAAGAAGUGCACAACAUGGAGUCUUUGGUGGAGAACCAACAAGAACGUUAAUUAAGCCCAACAGGUCUGCGCAAACGCCGAGCUUAAGUGUGUCGGUAGGACAAGUGGGUUUAACCGGAGGGAUCUUUUUUGGAGAUUUUGGGGUUUUAGGAGUAGUCGGUGGACAUUUUGUGGAAGUUACAAAACUGAAGAAAAGAAGAUUAAGUGUGAGAAGAAGAGCUGUAACUGCAAGAGCCUUAGGAGCCAUAGAAAAUUCUAGGAAUGUUUUUUGGGAUGAAUGUGAAGGAGAUAUAGGACAUGGUUUAUAUAGAAGAAGUUAGUGAUGUGUAACAGAAAUUUACAAAGUUAAAACGAACAUGUGAUGUGUGAAUGCAAAGAAAAUUCGAGUAAGAAACAAAAAUAUACAGCUAGUUGGCUUUUGCAACUUGAGACCAUGGUACUGAUUAGACUAAUUUUGAGAUAUUUUUUCAAUGGUGAUAAUGGAGGAGACAAGAUUCUUGUCUUGUUCGUUUGUUAAGAUAAUUAUGAACAGGGUUCCACGAUCUUUGUUUCGACAUGGUUGUGCCAGAGUGUCUCGCUGCUUGGUAUGUAUCAGUUUAAGCAUCGAGGUGGUAUCCAUUGCACGUUGUUGAUAAGAUAUAAAUCUUACAUUGCAUUGGUCCCUAUUCCUUUAGAUUCUAUUAUGGGCUCUCUUCUAUUAUUAGUGAUCAUUCCUUAUCAGUAAAGUUUGUUCUUCACAAAUGUAAUUCUAAAACAUAGGUUUCAAUUUGUCACCACAUUUUAGAAUUUUUUUUGAUAUAUUAAUUGUUUAUCAAAUUAGAUAGUAGAGUUUUUUUUGUUGAGCUAAUACAUGGAUCGUAUUUUAGUUUUUUUUUUCUUUUCCAUGUAUAAAAAUCUAUAAAAAUAUUUUUCUCCCCAGUUUCAAUUCUUAAGCUAAAAUUUUAUUUAUUAAUUUUCUAUUUAUAAAAACUCGGCAAAUCGAUAAAAUUCGAAAAGGUUUUUGUAAAACAUUUUUUUUUUCAAAAACCUCACAAAAGAGCUAAUUAUCAUAAAGAGUUCUUAUCAUAUAAAGAUUUCUUUUUUUCCACAAACGGCUAUUCGGUAACACAAACUUAAGGCGGUUCUCAGGAACCAAAACAGAACAGAACAACCAAAGUAAUACAGAUCCAUGUGGAAUGACUUUGCUAUCUUAGCUAAUGAGUCAGACGAUACAUUUUCAGAACGAGAAAUAAAAACAAUAGAAAAAUCGGAGAAUCUAUUAUGCAGUCUUGACAACUCCUUCAGUUCAAUGGAAAAGUUCGGUCAUGCUCCUAGAUCUUGAAUUAUUGAGAUUAAAUCUUUACAAUCGGUGCCAAAAGCCUGACACGCCGAUAGAUGUAACAUGCACUCUAUUGCUAAUGAGAAAGCCUCAAGUUCCGAGUGAGGGGUAAGAUCCUUCUGCGUUGGUUUUUUGUUCCCAAAAGUUGAAUUACUCUUCCAGAAUUUUUCUAUGUACAUCAACAACCACUGAACAAUGCAUCAUAUGUCUACUCCUGUCGCUCCACUAGUAUUUCUUCUUGUUUACUUUUAGCUUCAAACCAAACAUGACAUUUUGAUUCAGCGUGUAAGACAGUUUCCAAUGAAUCUUGUCUAUUCUCUAAAUAACAUCAUUUCUUGUUUUCUAGAUACAACGUAUUAUUCAAAAGUACGGGUCUUUAUCCAGUCGCAAGAACACCAAUGGUGAAGAUGGGAUUGCUAAAAGAGACCAUGUUUGUAACGUUGGUUAAUAGUUUCAUUCUCUACUCCAUAUAUAAAACAAUGGUUGUCGCAUGGCAUAAAACUUUCUUUAACAUUGUAAAAAACAACCAAAACCAUAUUUUCGAUGACAAACCUAUUAUAGCUAAAAUAAUAUUACCAUAAGAUAAUAAUAAUGCCAAUGUAGAGAAUAUUUCAUAUUAGUCUUAGUUUACAUUAUUAAACACAAAGUGAAGAAGAAGAAAAUCACAAAUCUUGAGAAGAUUAUGCUGAGAGAAUGUUACUUAUUAUAUACACAAAGUCGAAAGAUUGUGGGAAACAUCGAUUUCAUUGAAUCGUGACUGAUUUGUACUGAAUAUGAUGAUGAAUUGCAGAAACUCUGGCCGAUAACUAAAGGAAGAAGAUCAUAUAUUUACGGUUUUUCCAUUACUUUACAAAAAAACAAAAUGCAUAACUGACCUUCGAACCCAAGAUAGAAUGGUUAUAGGGCAGCUACCCUUCCACUAGGCUACGAUGUAAACUUAACAUUAAAGCGUAAAAUAAACGAUAUAUAUAUAUAUAAAUGUAUACAAUAAAGCAGAGAAAGGUGCCUCCGCCAUUGGAAUCUGCAAAUGCUUCAAGGAGCAAAAACGGUGACAUCAAACUUGGUUGUGUUCAUAAUUUUUUUUUUUAAUUUUCUUUUAUCAUGAGAAUUAUGACAAGAGUCACCAGCUGUUACGUAUUGUACAAGUAUAUACAUACAUUUAUGCAAGCACAAUGUGGCCAUUAUAGUUGAUUACCGAUGAAAGGACUGAAAGAGUAUAUUAGGAUUUAAAUUGAUUUUAUUUGACAGAGAUGAAAGAACUGAAAUCACAGAAGCUCAUCGUUCUCUUGAAAGCUUUUUUCUUCUCUCUCACGUCGUUACUCUCUCUCUCUCAUCUCUCCCUCUAUGCUCUCGUUUCACUCUAUCUGCUCUCUAUCUCUCUGUAUGUGCUCGGCGUUGUCGUAUUGUGAGAAAGAAACGAACCCAAUCCAAAUUGAUUUUUUUUAUGUAGUCGGGUCGGAUGAUUAUGGGUUGGGUCGGGUUUUGGAUAAUGGGGAAUCGCAGCUCACAAAACGCGAUUUAAAAAUCUAUAAUUACGUUUUCGAAAUUGGAUUAGAAAGGGGGAUUUGAGCAGAACAAAAAAGAAUUGGGGGAGUUUUAAAGAGAUUUUAUAUCUGUGGAUGAUUUGGUCAUGAGUUGGAUAGUAUAGAUGAGAAUAGAUAGGAUUGUGGUGUUUACGGGAGGUUUUAGGCAGUCAUCCCAAGAAAAUGACAUUGCACACCAAAUUAAAUCACUAUGAGAUCAAACACUGGUAUAAAUGGGUAAAGUGACUAUACAAUAUCAGGCGUACGAGAUAUCAGCCCAUUAAAAUAACUGAGGUAUUCUAGAAAUCAGCCCAUCUAGAUUAAUGCGGUUUUCCGUAGCAACUGGUGCGUUAUUCUAUAUCGGACCAUCCAAUUUCUACGUGGAAUGACGGUUGUACCCUCCCGCUUUCGACGCAUGUUAUCUGGACUUAUAGAGCCAUAUGGGCCUAUGGUGAGUUGGAUGACAAAGUAAAAAACCAUGUAAACCCAAGGGAGGCAGGCACUGAAGCAAGAGCACGAACAACACGGAACACUGAAGAGUCUGUUGAACUAUGUUUUGACUGAACGUAGUUUUUUGGACGGUCCCAAAGUACUUGCGUAUCCUGUUUAAAUGAUCUAUCUUUUGUGAAUUUCUUUGAUGUUCGGCUUCUACUGUUUUCAAUAGACUUUUUCCUACUUACAUCUCAAGAAUGCAUAUUAAAUAUACUACAUUAUUUAGAUAAAAAUUCUUGUGGGAUAUAUAAGUGAUGUAAUAAUUCUCCAUUCUUUAGCCAAUUUUUUUAUGUCGGUUAGAUCCAUUAUUAAUAUUUGUCUACUUCUUGUUUUUGGGAUAGGUUUCUUAUAAGGAAUCAUUGAAAUGAUAUUUUUUAACAACCACACAUUUACAUUAGGAGAGAUGCUAAGACAUUACAAUAAACGAUUUCAUUAACAAGUUCAAUAUGAAAUAACAAAGGUUGUAAGAUUUGCAUUUUUCUCACAAACAAAAAAAUAGAUAACAAUAGAAAGCAACAGAACAAAGCAUAACCAAGAGAUUUCUCUUUUUAAAAUCUCUUCAAGCACAUUGGAAGCCAUAAGGAAGUUUCUUCCCACAAUAGUUCAAUAACAAGCUCAGAUCAACAGGAACAUUGAGAUUAAUCCCCAAGACAUUGGCUUUAAGAGCGGUGCAAAGACAAACCGCAGCUUCAACGUUAGCAAGACCAUUAAGAAGUGCACAACAUGGAGUCUUUGGUGGAGAACCAACAAGAACGUUAAUUAAGCCCAACAGGUCUGCGCAAACGCCGAGCUUAAGUGUGUCGGUAGGACAAGUGGGUUUAACCGGAGGGAUCUUUUUUGGAGAUUUUGGGGUUUUAGGAGUAGUCGGUGGACAUUUUGUGGAAGUUACAAAACUGAAGAAAAGAAGAUUAAGUGUGAGAAGAAGAGCUGUAACUGCAAGAGCCUUAGGAGCCAUAGAAAAU